rnacentral:lncRNA from 1 species
AUGUGACUGCUGCAAAACCAUUGAACCUAACUGAACCGGACUGAACCGUCCUCCACCGGGAAACUCCAACCCACCAAUUCUUGAACUCUUGUACUGCCACAAUUGGUGGUCCGAUUGACCCGCUCCAACUGAAACCGCCGUUGAACCGGUGCCUCCGCUUACUGGUAACAUCCAGAACCCGUUACCAACGUUGCCACCAGCUGGUGCAACCGCCCACAUGGCUUGACCCGGGAUUAAAUUCGAACCGGGUUUUGAAGAAUCUGAACCGGGUUUAUCAGGUGAAGGGGAGGUGGCGCCACUGGUAGUAGUAUCUUCUCUGAAUCGUUUUUUCAUGUAAUUUUCAUCUGGGUCUUGGAUAAAACCGGUGUUGGCAGUGGAUAGAUGGUGGUGGAAGCCUAACAUAGCGGCGGAGGCGGAGGCGGAGGCGCCGUGGAUGAAAAGAGGUGCAGAUUUUGACGGCGGAGCUGAAAUUGUUGUACCGCUGCUACGUGUAGAAACGUUAAGAGUUGAGAAAUUAGCCGGGAUUGUACCAGUUCCGGUGGUAGCAAUAAUUGCCGGUUCUGCUUGUUGCAAUAGCCACUCAAUGGUUUCU